rnacentral:rRNA from 1 species
ACGCUGGCGGCAGGCCUAACACAUGCAAGUCGAGCGGUAGAGAGAAGCUUGCUUCUCUUGAGAGCGGCGGACGGGUGAGUAAUGCCUAGGAAUCUGCCUGGUAGUGGGGGAUAACGUUCGGAAACGGACGCUAAUACCGCAUACGUCCUACGGGAGAAAGCAGGGGACCUUCGGGCCUUGCGCUAUCAGAUGAGCCUAGGUCGGAUUAGCUAGUUGGUGAGGUAAUGGCUCACCAAGGCGACGAUCCGUAACUGGUCUGAGAGGAUGAUCAGUCACACUGGAACUGAGACACGGUCCAGACUCCUACGGGAGGCAGCAGUGGGGAAUAUUGGACAAUGGGCGAAAGCCUGAUCCAGCCAUGCCGCGUGUGUGAAGAAGGUCUUCGGAUUGUAAAGCACUUUAAGUUGGGAGGAAGGGCAGUUACCUAAUACGUGAUUGUUUUGACGUUACCGACAGAAUAAGCACCGGCUAACUCUGUGCCAGCAGCCGCGGUAAUACAGAGGGUGCAAGCGUUAAUCGGAAUUACUGGGCGUAAAGCGCGCGUAGGUGGUUAGUUAAGUUGGAUGUGAAAUCCCCGGGCUCAACCUGGGAACUGCAUUCAAAACUGACUGACUAGAGUAUGGUAGAGGGUGGUGGAAUUUCCUGUGUAGCAGUGAAAUGCGUAGAUAUGUGGAGGAACACCGAUGGCGAAGGCAGCCCCCUGGGUCAAGAUUGACGCUCAUGCACGAAAGCGUGGGGAGCAAAC